rnacentral:rRNA from 1 species
GACGAACGCUGGCGGCGUGCUUAACACAUGCAAGUCGAACGAAGUGGCGGACGGGUGAGUAACGCGUAAUCAACCUGCCCAUCAGAGGGGGACAACAGUUGGAAACGACUCCUAAUACCGCAAACUGAAGGAGGGGCUUGCGUCUGAUUAGCUAGUUGGAGGGGUAACGGCCCACCAAGGCGAUGGGCAGUAGGCGGACUGGGAGGAUGAACGGCCAAAAUGGGACUGGGAAACUGCCCAGACUCCUUCGGGAGGCAGCAGUGGGGAAUCUUCCGAAAUGGACGAAAGUCUGACGGAGCAACGCCGCGUGAGUGAUGACGGCCUUCGGGUUGUAAAGCUCUGUUAAUCGGGACGCGGUACCGGAAUAGAAAGCCACGGCUAACUACGUGCCAGCAGCCGCGGUAAUAC